UACGAAGGGUGCAAGCGUUGUUCGGAUUUAUUGGGCGUAAAGGGUUCGUAGGCGGGACAGUCAGUUAAGUGUGAAAACCCUGGGCUUAACCUGGGACGUGCACUUAAUACUGCUGUUCUUGAGUGUUGGAGAGGGUCAUGGAAUUGCUGGUGUAGGAGUGACAUCCGUAGAGAUCAGCAGGAACACCAGAGGCGAAGGCGAUGACCUGGCCAGGCACUGACGCUGAGGAACGAAAGCGUGGGGAGCAAACAGG
rnacentral:rRNA from 1 species